AGUGAACGCUGGCGGUAGGCCUAACACAUGCAAGUCGAACGGCAGCACAGUAAGAGCUUGCUCUUACGGGUGGCGAGUGGCGGACGGGUGAGGAAUACAUCGGAAUCUACUUUUUCGUGGGGGAUAACGUAGGGAAACUUACGCUAAUACCGCACACGACCUACGGGUGAAAGCAGGGGAUCUUCGGACCUUGCGCGAUUGAAUGAGCCGAUGUCGGAUUAGCUAGUUGGCGGGGUAAAGGCCCACCAAGGCGACGAUCCGUAGCUGGUCUGAGAGGAUGAUCAGCCACACUGGAACUGAGACACGGUCCAGACUCCUACGGGAGGCAGCAGUGGGGAAUAUUGGACAAUGGGCGCAAGCCUGAUCCAGCCAUACCGCGUGGGUGAAGAAGGCCUUCGGGUUGUAAAGCCCUUUUGUUGGGAAAGAAAAGCAGCAGGUUAAUAUCCCGCUGUUCUGACGGUACCCAAAGAAUAAGCACCGGCUAACUUCGUG
rnacentral:rRNA from 1 species